AGAGUUUGGUCAUAGCUGUUUCCUGACGCUAGCGGCAGGCUUAACACAUGCAAGUCGAGGGGUAACAGGGUUUAGUUUACUAGAUUGCUGACGACCGGCGCACGGGUGAGUAACGCGUAUACAAUUUACCUUUUACAGGAGAAUAGCCCAGAGAAAUUUGGAUUAAUGCUCCAUGGUAUUAUCGGGUCACAUGGUUUGAUAAUUAAAGUUUCGGCGGUAAAAGAUGAGUAUGCGUCCUAUUAGCUAGAUGGUGAGGUAACGGCUCACCAUGGCAACGAUAGGUAGGGGUCCUGAGAGGGAGAUCCCCCACACUGGUACUGAGACACGGACCAGACUCCUACGGGAGGCAGCAGUGAGGAAUAUUGGGCAAUGGAGGCAACUCUGACCCAGCCAUGCCGCGUGCAGGAAGACGGCCCUAUGGGUUGUAAACUGCUUUUAUACAGGAAGAAACCCAUCCACGUGUGGAUGGCUGACGGUACUGUACGAAUAAGGACCGGCUAACUCCGUGCCAGCAGCCGCGGUAAUACGGAGGGUCCAAGCGUUAUCCGGAAUCAUUGGGUUUAAAGGGUCCGCAGGCGGGCAAUUAAGUCAGAGGUGAAAUCCCACAGCUCAACUGUGGAACUGCCUUUGAUACUGGUUGUCUUGAGUUAUAGUGAAGUAGAUAGAAUAUGUAGUGUAGCGGUGAAAUGCAUAGAUAUUACAUAGAAUACC
rnacentral:rRNA from 1 species